AUAUUACUCCCUCCGUUCGGAAUUAGUUGUCGCAGAAAUGGAUGUAUCUAGACGUAUUUUUGUUCUAGAUACAUCCAUUUUUGCAACAAGUAAUUCCGAACGGAGGUAGUAGAUA
rnacentral:pre_miRNA from 1 species